GGCACAGGAGUUUUUCACAUAAAGUAAUGCUAUUAAGAAAAGAGGGUAAUUAACUGACUCAGGACUGCUGUACAUAUGGGAGUACAAUAUCAUCCAGCCCUCCUGGACAAUUGUGAGCCUGCAACCACAGUCUUUUUACCAGCUUGCCUCUGCACUUUUUCCAGCACAUUAAUAUCCUUCUUAAGGACUGGGGCGCAAAACUGCACUGCAUACUGUCGCUAAAAAGCACCAAGGAGAGACCCCUGCAGUACUCUACUAUCAACACUGGUCCAAUUAGAAAGUGUUCCAUUUAAAACCAUUCUUUGUAAUUUAUCCUUCAGCCAAUUCUUUGCACAAGUACAAAUAUUAUAUUCCAGGUCAAUAUUUCUUAAAUUAAUCAAUAACCUUCUGAGUGGUACUGUAUCAAAAGCUUUAGCAAAAGUAAGUCCUAGGCACUGCCACCCCAAUGUUUAGGUUUCUGCUCACCUUCUAAUAGGUAAUUACAUAUGUCUGAUAAGAUUUAUUGCAAAUUAAACCCAUGCUGAAAUGUA